rnacentral:rRNA from 1 species
CGGACGGGUGAGUAACGCGUGAGAAUCUGCCUUCAGGUCGGGGAUAACAGCUGGAAACGGCUGCUAAUACCGGAUGAGCCGAGAGGUAAAAGCAAAAGUGCCUGAAGAUGAGCUCGCGUCUGAUUAGCUAGUUGGUGGGGUAAGAGCCUACCAAGGCGACGAUCAGUAGCUGGUCUGAGAGGAUGAUCAGCCACACUGGGACUGAGACACGGCCCAGACUCCUACGGGAGGCAGCAGUGGGGAAUUUUCCGCAAUGGGCGCAAGCCUGACGGAGCAAUACCGCGUGAGGGAGGAAGGCCCUUGGGUUGUAAACCUCUUUUGUCAGGGAAGAAGGUCUGACGGUACCUGACGAAUCAGCAUCGGCUAACUCCGUGCCAGCAGCCGCGGUAAUACGGAGGAUGCAAGCGUUAUCCGGAUUUAUUGGGCGUAAAGGGUCCGCAGGUGGUUAUUCAAGUCUGCUGUCAAAGCGCGGAGCUUAACUCCGUACAGGCGGUGGAAACUGAGGAACUAGAGUCUGGUAGGGGUCGCGGGAAUUCCCAGUGUAGCGGUGAAAUGCGUAGAUAUUGGGAAGAACACCGGCGGCGAAAGCGCGCGACUGGACCGGAACUGACACUGAGGGGCGAAAGCUAGGGGAGCGAAAGGGAUUAGAUACCCCUGUAGUC